GCAACUGUGACUACGAAAGCACAAAACCACGGUGAUAGCAGCUAAAGACAGAACAAGACGACAGUGACGAAUUGAUGGAGGUGUUGCAGGAGAAAGAAAUAAAUGUGUGUUUACGUAAAACGGAUCGUCGUUGGAAUUUCGAGCAAGAGUUGGAGUGACUCUUUUAACGACAACAGCGACGGUUUUAAAGAUGAUCGACGACUACUUUUAAUGCUUAGGACAUCGGCACAGUUUAUUUUGUAUUUGCAUAUCAUGAUCACUGCGACCACGUAACGAACAGAGCCGUAGUAGCAAACUUGAAGCAAAGUAGUCGCAAAAGAUUUACAGACUGUUUUGUGACUAAUUAGCCACUCUCGUAUUUAGUUAAUUCGAAAUUAGAGCAAUGAGAUAUGUUAAAAUGGUUAGUUAUUCAUUUA
rnacentral:lncRNA from 1 species